AACGAACGCUAGCGGCAGGCCUAACACAUGCAAGUCGAGGGGUAACGAUAGAAAAGACUUGCUUUUCUGAUGACGACCGGCGCACGGGUGCGUAACGCGUAUACAACCUACCUUUUAGCGGGGAAUAGCCCAGGGAAACUUGGAUUAAUGCCCCAUAGUAUAUGGACUUCUCCUGAAGUUUAUAUUAAACAUUUAUGGCUAUUAGAUGGGUAUGCGUCCUAUUAGUUAGUUGGUAAGGUAACGGCUUACCAAGGCAGCGAUAGGUAGGGGUCCUGAGAGGGAGAUCCCCACACUGGUACUGAGACACGGACCAGACUCCUACGGGAGGCAGCAGUGAGGAAUAUUGGACAAUGGGCGAGAGCCUGAUCCAGCCAUGCCGCGUGCAGGAAGACUGCCCUAUGGGUUGUAAACUGCUUUUACAGAGGAAGAACCACCCCCACGUGUGGGGGUUUGACGGUACUCUGCGAAUAAGGAUCGGCUAACUCCGUG
rnacentral:rRNA from 1 species